CUCGGGUUUGUCCCGGGUGCUGGGCGGGAAUUGCAGGAAAGCGCAGCUGGGCACGGCGGGGCGGGGGCUUCGGGAGGGGCGGGCCCGGGGCGGGCCCGGGGGCGGGGCCGGGCCCGGUUAAGAGGAGCGUGGCGGGCCGCCCGGGAAGCGUUCCGGCCACCCACCGUGCAGGGACCUUCGGCCUCCGGCGGAGAGCGCAGCGCCGCCGCGCACACCUGGCACCAUGACCCCGACGCCGGCUUUCGACAAGCCCAAAAUGAGGGAACUGAGCUGGAGAAGCGAAGUGACCUGCCCAAGGCUGCUCAAAAGCUGAGAGCCUCGAAGCUGUGGACUGGCGAGUGAGCUGGCUCGGGUCAGAACCGCAGGGUCUCAAAACUGCCCCUUCCUGAUGCAGAGGCGAGUGGGAGCUAAGUCCCAGUGUACUUGCUUCUUUCUCAUGUUUGAAUGUUUGCUCCGAAUCAGGUGCUGUUCUGAUUGCUUUGCAUAUAUUAACUCCCUCACUGCUCACAACCGUCCUCUGAAGUGGGUCCUAUCAUCUUCAUUUACAUAUGAAGAAACUGAGGCUCAGAGAGGGGAAGGAACUUGCCAGUCACACAGCCGGAAAGCAGCAGAGCUUGCAGAGCUUGAUGUGAACCCAGAUCUCCCUAAAACUCAAGUCGAAGCUGUUAACUUUGCUGAUUUGCCACUGCGCUUUGGGGUGGGUGUGGGGGCAGGAGUUAGAAUCAGGGUGGCCUUGGGCUUCAGAUGGACUGAGACUGGAUCCCUUCCUGGCUCUUAGCAGCUGAGAGCUCAGGUGGACAAUUCCCUGAACCCCAGCUCCCUUCUCUGUGAAAUAGGCUGAUAAAACCAAGGUCCUGGGGUCCCGGGGGAAUCGAUGUGCUGACUGGCUGGCAAGCAGCAGGCCCUCAGGUGUGUACAUUCCCUCCCCCGGGCUGCAGUGGGUGAUGGAAGUGGGGUGUCUGUGGUCACACAGUGAGGCGGGGGGGCCAGCCAGCCUCCUGAUUCCACAUCCGGCCUCAGGGUGGGCUUGGCUCGGGCAGGAAGGGGCCCUGUGAGCUGGGAGAAACUUGUCCACUUGCCCAGUUGUCCUAGGGGGUGCCCCUGGGGCAGGGGAGGGUAGGCCCGGGGCCUGGCUUUGGGAAGGAGUGAAGUUUGAGUCUGUACCGACCCGAGUGUUGGGCAGGCUCACCCGCAUCCCCUAGGGCUCUGAGGCCCCAGAGCAGCAGGAUGGAGAAAGAAAGAACCUCUGGUGUCCUUGUGACCACGGAAGGAGAACAGCAAGGAACUGAAACUAGUUGGGGCCAGGCUGACUGGGCCCACUUUUCAGCUGGGGGGCGCUUGAGUGAGUUACUUAACUGCUCUGUGCCUCAAUUUCCCGGCUGUAAAAUGGGAAUCAUACUCGUAUUCACCCCACGUAAAACACCAAGUGCAGGCCUGGCCGGGGGCAGGGGGCCCGCCAAUGCUAGCUGCCAUCCAUCAACAUCCUCCACCUGUUUACUCAUCAGUCUGCUUAGAUUUGAGCAGCACUGACUCAGCACUGAUGUGCAGGAGGAAGGGAGUGUAUCGCGUGCGAUUGUGGCCUCUGGCUUUAGGGUCAAACAGCUUACUGACCGGGCUCUAGGGCAAGUUCCUUCAUCUCUCCGAGCCUCAGUCUUCUAUAAAAUGGAUAACUGUGCUGAGUUCCUAGGCUGUUGCCACGCAGGAUGUCCCCCUUGGUGAAGACUCACCUUGCCUUCCUGAAACCUCUGGGGAAGCUCACAGCAGCGGCAGCUGAGAGCUCAGUCAGGCCCUGAGUCAGCAGGAGGCCCCAAGGGACUGCGGGCCCCUUCAGCUCUGCACCUCGGAGCUACAGGAGCCCCGGUGGCUGACCACAGAGGACUUCCUGGAGGAGGUGUGGCUGAAACAAUUUGUCAGCCCUGGGGCUGCUCUGUCUUCUGACCUCGCCCCAAAAGUCUGCAGCGAGGCCACAGGGGCAUGAGAGCACUGCCCAGCUCAUUGCCAAGAGCAGGGCGGAGAAGGGGAGGGGACAUCUGCCUGAAAGUGGGCCCCCAUGGCUCAUCCAGGUUCUGAGUGCGGUGCCCAGGUUAUGGGGGCUGGUCAAGAAACCCUGGCUACUCUGCCUUGACCAGGUUCUCUGCGAGGCCCGAGGGGGUAGGUCAGCCCCUUCCUCAGAGCAGGGAGAGGACGCAGCACUGCUGACGGCUAACAGGGAGAGGAGGAAACCAACACUUGGUCAUUCAACACCUACUGAGCACUUUUGCUGUGCCAGGCACUGUCCUAGGUGCUUGCCGUCUGCCCAGGUGCGCCACACACCGCUGAGCUCGUUGUACUGAGCACCUACCGUGUCUGGCGCCACUGUGCCUCCCUGUCACCCUUGUCUCCCUCUGCACCGCCGCCUCAGCUCUCUGCCUUCUGCUCUGGCUUCCCUCCAACCCAUUCUCCACACAGCAGCCAGAAAAAGCUUUUAAAAGGUGACUCCCCAUUUUAAAACUCUAGUGGAUUCCUUAAGUGUGACCCGUGAGAUCUCCCUGACUUUCUCUCUGGCCUCAUCUCUCGCCACCAACCUCAUUCUCUGCGCUCGAGCCGUUUCCCUCACAGCUCCCUGAUCCAGACACUUAGCACGUGCAGCUCCCUCUGCCUGGAACCAUUCUCUCUCCCUCCUUCCUUCUCCCUGACACUAACUCUUCCUCUAUUUGUCUCCUUCUCAAAGUGAUCUUUUCUGGACACACUUUCUAAAUCGCCCCCCUUCUGUGGAUGUUUUCUUUUUCUCAUGACACUUGGUGCAUUUUCCCAGCAUGAUCUAUAACUAUGAGUUCAGAGAGGUGUGUUUGCUUGUUGUCGGCGGGAUAGGCUGCGGUGCGCUGCGGUAGCCAACAUUCCCAGAUCCGCAGGGCCUCAAACAGCUGAGGUAGGCGUCGUUUCCUCACACCGUGUGCCCAUCACAGGCCUUCAGUGGGGUUUCUCUUCCUCAGUCAUUCGGGGACCCAGUCAGAUGGGUGACACCAUCCUGAACAUUGCCAGUCGCUGUGCCAGAGUGGAGAGAGGGCUCUGGGGAGUCUGGCAUUGGCAUCUAAAUGCUUUGGCCAGGAGGAGCCAUGGAGGCCCACCGAGUUGCAGGGGGCAGGGCAGGGCAGCAGAGACAACCGCCCCGAUUCAUUGCCUGACUUUCCUACUCCGAGGCUCUGCCGCCAGGCUUGAUUUUCACCUUCUGACUUCUCCUGGCUGCUCAGUGACGUCACGCAGCUCUUCACCCAGCUUCCGUCUUCCCCAUCGACGUUUAAACGUGCUCAAGUCAUUCCCACCUUGAGACACAGCUCUCUUGACCCACACCCACCUCCAGCCCCAUCCCAGGUUCCUUCUCCGCGUUCAGGGGUGAAAUUCUUGAAAGAGUGGUCUGAACUGGCUCCGUUUUCUUACCCUGCUCCAGUGUGGGUUCUGUCCCCUCCGGCCUCUGGAAUGAUUCUAGGGCAGUGGUUCUCAACUUGGCCCCCUGUUUUUAUUUUUAAAGUGGAUUAUUUAAAAAACAAAUGGGCUGGCUGGUGGCGCAGCAGUUAAGUGCGCACGUUCCACUUCGGCGGCCCAGGGUUCACCAGUUUGGAUCCCGUGUGCAGACAUGGCUCCGCUUGGCAAGCCAUGCUGUGGUAGGCGUCCCACGUAUAAAGUAGAGGAAGAUGGGCAUGGAUGUUAGCUCAGGGCCAGUCUUCCUCAGCAAAAAGAGGAGAAUUGGCAGCAGAUGUUAGCUCAAGGCUAAUCUUCCUCAAAAAAAACCCCAAAAAACAAACACCACAAAAAAACAUGUCCCCAGGCCCACCUCCAAGGAUUGUGAUUUAAUUGAUCUGGGGUGAACCCAAGCAUGGGUAACUUUGUGAAGCUUCCCCAGGCCUCCUGAUGGGCCUCUGGGUGGAGAACUCCUCCCGGGGUCCCCGUGCCCAGCGGCCUUAGCCCCAGGGACGUUUCUGCUCUCCUCCUCCUCCACCCCUGGCAGGAACCAACGGUAUUUGUUUCCUGUAGCUGCUGUAACAAAUGACCACACCCUGAGCAGCUUAAAACAACAAACUUAUUUUCUGUCGGUUCUGAAGGCUCAAGUCCACGGUUCUGGGGGAGAAUCGACUCGGUGCCACUUCCAGCUUCUCGGGACUCUGGGCGUUCCUUGGCAGCAUCGCUCCAGUCUGCCUCCUGUCCCGUUGCUGCUUCCUCUUGUGUGUGUGGGUUUCAAACAGCCUGCCCUCCUCAUAAGGAGGCAGGAGAUUGCAUGCAGGGCCCACCCAGCUAAUCCGGAUAAACUCUUCUCGAGAUUCUUAAUCACGUCUUUUGCCUCCUAAGGUAAUUCAGGUUCUGGGGAUUGGGACAUAGACGUCUUUGGGGGGCUACCAUUCAGCCUACACCUCGCGGGGGGCCACUCCUCCUUGAAACCUGGUGGCCCCUUGCCUUCUGCGCGCCACACGCUCCAGUUUCCUUCCCGCCUCUCUGGCAACUCUUCCCAGGGCUCCCUCUCCUCUGUAAGGCCAUGGGGUGCUGGCGCUCAUCAAGGCUUUGUCCCAGGCCCUUUCCUCGACAUGCCCUCCUGGGUGAGCUCACUCGAGACCACAGCCUCAGUCAUCCAUGUUCUUGCUACAUCUCCAGCCUCAGUCUCCCUGAGAGCUCCAAACCCUCAUGUCCAUUGGCUCCCUCCCUUUCCGUUUGGAGGUCUCACAGGCAUCCCUGUGUAACUGCUCGUGCCUCUCCCUGCACCCCACCCCUCCUGAUGCCCUUUGCACUGGGUCUUCUUCCCGAGUUCUCUGACUCAGCGUGGGAAUCACUGUCCACUCGGGUCCAGCCUGAAGCUUCAUCCUAGACGCUCCUGUCCACCUGCUUUUCCACAUCCGCCUCGCCACCCUGGUCCGAGGCACUGUCACCUCUCCUAAACUUGCCCGCAGGAGCCUCUCUGGUCUCACUGCGAGUCGUCCUCUUCAGCUUCACACCUCGUCGUGGCUUCUCUGCAUGCUCAGGAGAAAACCCACCUGCUCCUCGAGGCCCACACGGCCCUCCCUUCUCUGAACCCGUGCUUCAGUUCCUCACACGCACGUCCUCUCCCACCACACGACCUUUGCACACGCUGCUCCCUCUGCCUGGGAUGUCCUUCCUGCCUCCGCCUCACCUCUGCCCACUUGGCCCCUCUCCAUCCUUCCGAUCUCAGCUCGAGCUCUGCUUUCUCGGGAAGCCACUGUUGGCCCGCUGGCUGGGUCAGUCCUUUUGUUUGUUACCUCUCUCAGGACCGUGUGUGCACAUCCUGAGGGAUUGUCUUGGCUCGUGAUUGUACAUUUAUCAAUGUGACACUUCAUGUCUCCCUUUCUGGACUGUAGGCGUCACAGGAGGGGGACUGUGUCCCUUUGUCUUACCUCUGCAUUCCUACCGCCAGCAGGGCCGCGACAGUUUGGUGAAUGAAGGAUUCUGAGUUGAGGCUUUAGUAUUUACUACACGUCAAGCACUGGUCUAAGCACACUACAGUCACGUGCCACAUAACGUUCCUGGCAAUGAUGGACCACGUAGGUGAUGGCGGUGCCGUAAGGUCGGGACCAUGGAGCCUGGGUGUGUAGUAGGCUCCGCCAUCUAGGUUGGUGUAAGUGCACUCUGUGAUGUUUGCACAGUGAUGAAAUGGCCUAAUGACGCAGUUCUCAGAAUGUGGCCCUGCCGACACCUUGAUCUUGGACUUCCAGCCUCCAGAACUGUGAGAAAAUGGUUCUGGUUUAAGUCACCUGAUGUGUGGUAUUUUGUUUCGGCAGCUACAGGAAACGAAUACGGUCGGUUUCUGCCAGAGGUGGAGGGUAGGAGAGCAGAAACAUGUCCCUGGGGCUAAGGCCACAGGAUGCUGGGACCCCUGGGGCAGGGGUUCGCAACCCAGCUACCCAUUAGGAGCCUCCGGGAAGCUCUGGAAAGUUAUCCACGCUGGGCCCACCCCAGGUCAAUUAAAUCAUAAUCCUUGGAGGUGGGCCCGGGCCCAGGUUCCUUGUUUUGCUUUGUUUUAAAUUAUCUGCUGCUUUAAAAUACAUGUGUGCAUGCGUAGCACACACACACACACGCAUCCAUGCACGCACAACACAUGGAGCCAAGGUUGAGAAGGCUGCCCUAAAGGAACCAUUGAGAGGCCAAGGGGGCAGGACCUAUAGCGGAGCAGGGUAAGGAAUAAGUGGAGGUAAGGAAACGGAGAAAGUUCAUUCUUUCAAGAAUUUUACGCCUGAAGGGGGAGAAAGGGCCUAGGAUGGGGCUGGAGGUGGAGGCGGAGGUGGGUCAAGAGAAUUGUGUGUUUUUAAGGUGGGAAUGACUUGGCAUCGUUAAGCGAUGCGUGACUGUGCGUUAACACAGUUAAGCCUCAAGGAGCCGUAGGAGGAAAGCAUGUUGUCCUCCCCAUUGGACAGAUGAGGACGCCGGAGCACUGCAAGUGAAGUAACUGUCCCCAGGGGUGAGUGGAGGAGUCAGAUUCCAGCUCUAACCACAAUGCUUCCCUGCCUCUCUGGCUGAAUCCAACCCACGGCCAUGUGAAGGUUAAGGAUACGAAAAUGGAGGUUCAGAGAGGUGAGGUCACCUCUUCAAGGUCACACAGCUGGUCGGCAGUUCCCUGGACUGGAAGCUUCUGUGCUCCCAAUGCUGAGCAUUUUUUGAGAACCCAGUAAA
rnacentral:lncRNA from 1 species